rnacentral:lncRNA from 1 species
GUUUUCGUAUUUGUCCCUACCUUUCUGAUCUGAAUCAAUUGGUUGCCCCUCUUUUGGCUUUUGGAUGGAAGUUAGGAAAACCGUUAGUUUUCAAAUAUAGUCUGUUAAAAAAAUAAAAAAAUAAUUCAUAAAAUUGUAAAGGACAAUUUUGCCCCUGUUACAACUAGAGAGAGGGGAGAAUAGUGUGGAGUGGCAAUUUCUGAAUGUGAGCACUGGGAGAGGGCGCUGCGUCGGGUCGGCGGUGGCUAGGAAGGGGGCACGGCGUCAGCGGCGUGGCUCACGGCGCCGGCGGCAAGGAGAGGCUCGCGGGGCUCGGCGGCGCCAGGGAGGGGCGCGCGGCGACGGCGGCUGCUGGGGCGGAAGCGGCUGGGGAGGGGAGAUGGCGGCGGCUGGAAGGGGUCUUGGCGGCGGCUGAUUCAAGCGACGGCGACAGCCAGGAGAGGAGGCAGCUACUGGGAGAAGCAAGCUCAAGGCAUCGGUUGUGGUGCGCUCCGGGCUUCCCAAGGUGGAGGCCGAGGCGCUCGUGGCCAAGCUCAAGGCCGCCGGCGGCGCCGUCGCGCUCGACGGCUCGAGUGAUCCCGAGCGGGAGAUUUUUCAUAUUUCAGCGCUCAAUUCGCAUAUCUUUCAUCUUUACCCUCUAAUUCGCACGCAUUUCACGAUAUACAUAGGGAGCGCAAAUUUCUUUAUUACACGUCACUUUCUUAUUUUUCCUUUUCUGUUUCCUAUUUUUUCUUUUCUUUUUAACUGGGUGGACUGUUUUGCCCCUAGUUUCACCUGCCAGAAUAACUGAGAUUGAUCGGAUCGGAGGAGACUCGAUUAUCCUCGCCUGUUCGAGGGAUCUCGUACCUGGCAGGUCACAUGCAGCGUACAGAUAUCGUCGUUUUGCCUCCCUAGUACUAUUUCCUGGCAGGUCACAUACAGAUAUCUUGGCAGGUGGACCCAGGGGCAAAACAGUCCAUCCAGCUGAAAAUAAAAGAUAAAAUGGGAGGAAAAAAUGAAAUAGAAGAAAAGAUGAGAAAGUGGUGUGGAAUAAAGGAAUUCGCACUCC